rnacentral:rRNA from 1 species
GUGAGUCAUCGAAUCUUUGAACGCACCUUGCGCCCCUUGGUAUUCCGAGGGGCACACCCGUUUGAGUGUCGUGAAAAUCUCAACCUUCUCGGUUUUCUUCUGGACACCGAAGGAGGCUUGGACUUUGGAGGCCUUUGCUGGCAUCUCUCUCUUCUUGAGAGCCAGCUCCUCUUAAACGAAUUAGCGGGGUCCUCUUUGCCGAUCCUCGACAUGUGAUAAGAUGUUUCCAUGACUUGGUUUCUGGCUCUGUUGCCUUUGGGACCCGCUUCUAACCGUCUCGACGAGACGACGUUUGGGCGCGUCUCCCUUCUCGGGAGACCCUCUCAACCCCACGAACCCUUGACCUCAAA